rnacentral:rRNA from 1 species
UACGUAGGUGGCAAGCGUUGUCCGGAAUUACUGGGCGUAAAGGGCGUGUAGGCGGCCAAUUAAGUCAGAUGUGAAAUCCCCGGGCUUAACCUGGGAACUGCAUUUGAGACUGGAUGGCUUGAGGACCGGAGAGGGUAGUGGAAUUCCUAGUGUAGCGGUGAAAUGCGUAGAUAUUAGGAGGAACACCAGUGGCGAAGGCGACUACCUGGACGGCACCUGACGCUGAGGCGCGAAAGCCAGGGUAGCAAACGGGAUUAGAUACCCCGGUAGUCCUGGCCGUAAACGAUGGGUACUAGGUGUAGGAGGUAUCGACCCCUUCUGUGCCGCAGUUAACACAAUAAGUACCCCGCCUGGGGAGUACGGCCGCAAGGUUGAA